AUGUUCUUGAGGUGGAGAUAUCUCCUUGAGGUCCCAUGGGGCUGCCCCACCUUAACCCCGCCCCUUUUUUUUUUGGUGUCCCCAGCCCGGCCGACGUCCCCCCAGAUCUUCCCCCUGGUGGCCUGCGGUAACCCCACCCCCACGGCCUUGGGUUGUCUGGCGGACGGUUACUUCCCCGCUCCGGUGAAGGUCACCUGGGACGGUGGGGUGGCCGGUGUCACCUUCCCGGCGGCUCGUAGGUCCUCGGGGCUCUACGUGGGGGCCAGCAGCCAUGACGUCACCGGGAACCCCCUUCGUUGCACCGUCCGGCACGAGGCCACCGGCUUCAGCAAGAGCAUCGAGGUGACAGUGAGCCGCAUCCAGGCCCCCACCGUGGAGCUUCUCCACACCUGCGACUCCGAGGAUGUCCACCUCCUCUGCCUCGUCACCGGCUUCUCCCCGGUCCCCGUCACCCUGCAGUGGUUGGUCAACGGUCACCCCUUGGGAUCUCCUGAGCAGCUCCCCGCCUCCCGCGAUGCCACCGGUGUCACCUUCACGGCCACCUCCAGCCUCAACGUCACCUUGGGGGAGUGGCAGGAGAAGAUCUACAGCUGUAAGGUCACCCACGCCGCCUCCGAGACCAUCCAGGAGGUCAAGGGACACAAGUGCAUGAGUUCUCCUCCCGGCAGCGAUUCCGUCCAACUCUUCAUCCUUCCCCCUUCUCCUUCCGACCUCUACGUCUCCCAGAACCCCGUCCUCCGUUGCAUGGCCACCAGUUUGACCAGUGACCAAGGACUGGAGGUCACUUGGACCCGUCAGUUGGGGGGCUCCCUCCGCCCCAGAGACCUUCUCCUGGAGGACCAAUACAACGGCACCUACACGGCCAUCAGCGAGGUCCCCGUCACCGUCCAGGAUUGGGAGAAAGGGGACACCUUCACCUGCACCAUCCGCCACAGCGACCUCCCCUCCCCCCUCAGCCGCAGCAUCAGCAGGAGACCCGGUAAGGAAGACCCGCCCCCUUUCCUUAUUUAUGGAGGAGGUGGUGGAGAUGGUGAAAACGGUGGAGAUGAGGAGGUGGUGGAGAUGGAGGAGGUGGUGGAGAUGGAGGAGAUUGUGAAGAUGGUGGAGGUGGUGGAGAUGGAGGAGAUGGAGGACACUGUGGAGAUAGAGGAGAUGGAGGAGAUGGAGGAGAUGGAGGAGAUGGUGGAGAUGGUAGAGAUGAGGAAAUGA